AUUGAACGCUGGCGGCAGGCUUAACACAUGCAAGUCGAGCGGAGAGAGGUAGCUUGCUACUGAUCUUAGCGGCGGACGGGUGAGUAAUGCUUAGGAAUCUGCCUAUUAGUGGGGGACAACAUUUCGAAAGGAAUGCUAAUACCGCAUACGUCCUACGGGAGAAAGCAGGGGAUCUUCGGACCUUGCGCUAAUAGAUGAGCCUAAGUCGGAUUAGCUAGUUGGGGGGGUAAAGGCCUACCAAGGCGACGAUCUGUAGCGGGUCUGAGAGGAUGACCCGCCACACUGGGACUGAGACACGGCCCAGACUCCUACGGGAGGCAGAAGUGGGGAAUAUUGGACAAUGGGGGCAAGCCUGAUCCAGCCAUGCCGCGUGUGUGAAGAAGGCCUUAUGGUUGUAAAGCACUUUAAGCGAGGAGGAGGCUACUUUAGAUAAUACCUAGAGAUAGUGGACGUUACUCGCAGAAUAAGCACCGGCUAACUCUGUGCCAGCCGCCGCGGUAA
rnacentral:rRNA from 1 species